GGGGGUGAUUUGUCUCGACAGUAAUUUGACAAAAAUAUGCAAGCUGAGUUCUUGUUCUCAUUAAAAACAAAAACAAAAACAACUGGAAAUUCAUUCAGUCAAAAAGAGCUAGCUUACGCUUAAGCUCCAUCUAGUCUGAUUAUUCUCGCUAGGCAGAAACUAGGUGUUAUAUCUUGCGAGAGUAGAUAAUGUUAGCGAUUUAGAUAACAUUAUUGAAACUACUUCUAAAUCUAGCAUUAAAGGUUUUUUCUAAAUUCAAACUUUAAUGCAAAAACAAUAAUUUAGAAUAAGCUUGUAGAAUUAUUUUUGAAUAUAGUUUCUGGACGCGAGUUCAAAACUCGCCACCUCCACCA
rnacentral:tmRNA from 1 species